UGCAGUUGAGCGCUGAAGGUUGGUACUUGUACCGACUGGAUGAGCAGCGAACGGGUGAGUAACGCGUGGGGAAUCUGCCUUUGAGCGGGGGACAACAUUUGGAAACGAAUGCUAAUACCGCAUAAAAACUUUAAACACAAGUUUUAAGUUUGAAAGAUGCAAUUGCAUCACUCAAAGAUGAUCCCGCGUUGUAUUAGCUAGUUGGUGAGGUAAAGGCUCACCAAGGCGAUGAUACAUAGCCGACCUGAGAGGGUGAUCGGCCACAUUGGGACUGAGACACGGCCCAAACUCCUACGGGAGGCAGCAGUAGGGAAUCUUCGGCAAUGGACGAAAGUCUGACCGAGCAACGCCGCGUGAGUGAAGAAGGUUUUCGGAUCGUAAAACUCUGUUGGUAGAGAAGAACGUUGGUGAGAGUGGAAAGCUCAUCAGGUGACGGUAACUACCCAGAAAGGGACGGCUAACUACGUGCCAGCAGCCGCGGUAAUACGUAGGUCCCGAGCGUUGUCCGGAUUUAUUGGGCGUAAAGCGAGCGCAGGUGGUUUAUUAAGUCUGGUGUAAAAGGCAGUGGCUCAACCAUUGUAUGCAUUGGAAACUGGUAGACUUGAGUGCAGGAGAGGAGAGUGGAAUUCCAUGUGUAGCGGUGAAAUGCGUAGAUAUAUGGAGGAACACCGGUGGCGAAAGCGGCUCUCUGGCCUGUAACUGACACUGAGCUCGAAAGCGUGGGGAGCAAACAGGAUUAGAUACCCUGGUAGUCCACGCCGUACACGAUGAGUGCUAGAUGUAGGGAGCUAUAAGUUCUCUGUAUCGCAGCUAACGCAAUAAGCACUCGCCUGGGGGAGUACGACCGCAAGGUUGAUACUCAAGGAAUUGACAGGGGCCCGCACUAGCUGUUGAGCAUGUGGUUUAGUCGAAGCACGCG
rnacentral:rRNA from 1 species